rnacentral:rRNA from 1 species
GUCUAUGGCCAUGCCACCCUGAAUGUGCCCGAUCUCAUCUGAUCUCGGAAGCUAAGCAGGGUGGGGCCUGAUUAGUAUUUGGAUGGGAGACCACCUAGGAAGACCAGGUGCUGUAGGCA